UAGAUCUUGAACGAGGAAUUCCUAGUAAGUGCAAGUCAUCAUCUUGCAGAGAAAAUGUCCCUGCCCUUUGUACACACCGCCCGUCGCUCCUACCGAUACCGGGUGAUCCGGUGAACCUUUUGGACCUCGCAAGAGGAAAAAUAAGUAAACCAAUCACCUAGAGGAAGGAGAAGUCG
rnacentral:rRNA from 1 species